rnacentral:rRNA from 1 species
GACAGAGGUGCCGAGCGUUAGGCGGAAUUACUGGGCGUAAAGCGCACGUAGGCGGUUCGAUCAGUCAGGGGUGAAAUCCCAGGGCUCAACCCUGGAACUGCCUUUGAUACUGUCGAUCUGGAGUAUGGAAGAGGUGAGUGGAAUUCCGAGUGUAGAGGUGAAAUUCGUAGAUAUUCGGAGGAACACCAGUGGCGAAGGCGGCUCACUGGUCCAUUACUGACGCUGAGGUGCGAAAGCGUGGGGAGCAAACAGG